GACAUGUAAACGCAGUCUGCACAGCAGCUCAUUGCCCUACCCAAGUUUGCUUGUUAAUUCGAUGUCUCCACUUUUUUCUCUUGUUUUCUUUCCAAACAGGAUCAUCUCCAUUGUACCUAUUGACACUUGUGGAAGUCCCUCCACACCGUUCUGUAAUAAAUGAGUUGUAGGUUGCUGCCAAGUUAUCUGUGAUACUGUACUGAGGUUGCAGUUCAUAAGAAGUUCUGUGUGCUAUCUGGCAGUAAAACCCAACAAGCAAAUUAAAGGAAUACAUGAAAGUUUAAAAAAAGAAAAGUUAGUUCCAUUAGGAUUGGGUCAUCUUUGAAAGGGACACAUUGGUGCAUAAAUUAGUUAAGUAAAAUCUGUCAAAAUGGCAAACUAUGUAAUUUAGAGAAAAUACAGAAAUAUAUCCCACAACGGGCAAUACCCCCAGUACAAACAGAAAAGCAUAGCAAAGCAAACAAAAUAACCAACAUUUACACAAAUGCCACAAAGAACCCCAAAAAAACAUAUGUGCAAGCCCCUAAACGCUCACUAAAAGCAGAAAAUAUACCAUGCCGUCAAACACAAAAAGCCCAACUGAAAAGGACGUGGAAAGUGGUCAGUGCAGACAAUAGCUUUCCUCAACCUGAUGCAGAGUUUGUAUUAGCUGAGAGUAAUGAGAAUUGUCAUUAACCAUGUGUAUACUAUGCCAGCCCUCAGAAAGUUGGUUGAUCUCUUAAGGUAUUGAUUAUAUUGACGGACAUAUGUAGACAUUGGAACAAAGCACUGAGUGAAAUAUACAAGGAGAAUAACGUUUUGAAACCUAGUCUGAUCAUAUUGACUCCAGUCUGAGAGGAAAGUGGUGAUAAAUAUAAUCAUGUAAAAAAGUUGGGUUCUGUGUAAUAUCCAUCUUAGUGACCAUCCAUGGAAAUGAAUUUAGUAUCUGCAUUUUGUAUAGAUUUGAGAAGGUGUUGCCAUUGCUGUAAAUAUCAGACAAUAAUCGAGAGGAGAUAAAGUCACACAUAAGUGUUUAAAAUGAACAGAUGGGAGAGAAUAGGACCAAAGAUUCCUCAAUGCAAUGGAAGAAAGAACAAGAUUUGGGAGUUUUAUUAUUAGAAAUGAAUUUUGGGCCAGAUAAAUAGUUUGUGAUGUUCCUUUUAAGAAAGAAAACAAUUUAUACAUAGAGUACAUCAUAUCUGCGGAUGAGCAUCUUCAAUGCUUCUGGCUAAAUAUAGCUGUGUAUCUUCUGUGUCAUCAAGUCAGAACCAGCUAUAGUAGUGACCUUAUACUAGAGCUUUCAAGGUAGGUGACAUAAUUAUGGAGUUGUUUUACCAGUUCCACUCCCCCAGUGAGUUUCCAUGGUCCACUGGAGAUUGGAAUCCUGUUCUCCAGAAUCCUAGUAUAUCACUCUAUCCACUACACCUCACUGAAUGAAUCAAGCACAUAGCUACCUCUGGUAAAAGAA
rnacentral:lncRNA from 1 species